ncrna:Treponema denticola SP33 DTF3800-VI RNA
GGGUCAAGAGUGCUGCCUUUAAGUGGUGCGUCGAGUUUUCUCGCUUGGCCCU